GCUAGGUGCAGUGGUGCACGCCUGUAAUCCCAGUGACUCUGGAGGCUGAGGCAGGAGGAUCUCAAGUUUGAGACUAGUGAGGCCCUAAGCAACUUAGUGAGACCCUGUCUAAA
rnacentral:sRNA from 1 species